rnacentral:rRNA from 1 species
CCUACGGGGGGCAGCAGUGAGGAAUAUUGGUCAAUGGGCGCGAGCCUGAACCAGCCAAGUAGCGUGAAGGAUGACUGCCCUACGGGUUGUAAACUUCUUUUAUAAAGGAAUAAAGUGAGGCACGUGUGCCUUUUUGUAUGUACUUUAUGAAUAAGGAUCGGCUAAUUCCGUGCCAGCAGCCGCGGUAAUACGGAGGAUCCGAGCGUUAUCCGGAUUUAUGGGGUUUAAAGGGAGCGUAGAGGGGUUGUUAAGUCGGUUUUAAAAGUUUGCGGCUAAACCGUAAAUUGCAAUUGAUACUGGCAGCCUUGAGUACAGUUGAGGUAGGCGGAAUUCGUGGUGUAGCGGUGAAAUGCUUAGAUAGCACGAAGAACUCCGAUUGCGAAGGCAGCCUACUAAACUGCCAUUGACAUUGAGGCUCGAAAGUGUGGGUAUCAAACAGGAUUAGAUACCCUGGUAGUA